UGGGGAAUAUUGCACAAUGGGGGAAACCCUGAUGCAGCCAUGCCGCGUGUGUGAAGAAGGCCUUCGGGUUGUAAAGCACUUUCAGCGAGGAGGAAAGGAGCAGGUUUAAUACGCCUGUUCUGUGACGUUACUCGCAGAAGAAGCACCGGCUAACUCCGUGCCAGCAGCCGCGGUAAUACGGAGGGUGCAAGCGUUAAUCGGAAUUACUGGGCGUAAAGCGCGCGUAGGUGGUUUGUUAAGUGGGAUGUGAAAGCCCCGGGCUCAACCUGGGAAUUGCACCCCAAACUGGCAAACUAGAGUACAAGAGAGGGGUGUGGAAUUUCCUGUGUAGCGGUGAAAUGCGUAGAUAUAGGAAGGAACAUCAGUGGCGAAGGCGACGCCCUGGCUUGAUACUGACACUGAGGUGCGAAAGCGUGGGGAGCAAACAGG
rnacentral:rRNA from 1 species